rnacentral:rRNA from 1 species
UGGGUAACCUGCCUCAAAGAGGGGAAUAGCCUCCCGAAAGGGAGAUUAAUACCGCAUAAUAUGUUUAAGUCGCAUGACUUUAACAUCAAAGGAUUUUCUUUUAGAAAUUCCACUUUGAGAUGGACCCGCGGCGCAUUAGCUAGUUGGUGAGGUAACGGCUCACCAAGGCAACGAUGCGUAGCCGACCUGAGAGGUGAUCGGCCACAUUGGAACUGAGACACGGUCCAGCUCCGUAGGAG